AGCCCCGUACACAAAAGCGCAUGUGCUGUGAGCUCGAUGAGUAGGGCGGGACACGUGGUAUCCUGUCUGAAUAUGGGGGGACCAUCCUCCAAGGCUAAAUACUCCUGACUGACCGAUAGUGAACCAGUACCGUGAGGGAAAGGCGAAAAGAACCCCGGCGAGGGGAGUGAAAAAGAACCUGAAACCGUGUACGUACAAGCAGUGGGAGCCCCACCACUAAGCCAGUGGUGAACUCCACAUACGCAUCCUUUGCUGAGGAUACGGUUAACGGAGCGAAAGCGACGUUCAACCGCAAAAGAAGCAGAGGGGGCUUAGUGGUGGGGUGACUGCGUACCUUUUGUAUAAUGGGUCAGCGACUUAUAUUCUGUAGCAAGGUUAACCGAAUAGGGGAGCCGGAGGGAAACCGAGUCUUAAUUGGGCGUUAAGUUGCAGGGUAUAGACCCGAAACCCGGUGAUCUAGCCAUGGGCAGGUUGAAGGUUGGGUAACACUAACUGGAGGACCGAACCGACUAAUGUUGAAAAAUUAGCGGAUGACCUGUGGCUGGGGGUGAAAGGCCAAUCAAACCGGGAGAUAGCUGGUUCUCCCCGAAAGCUAUUUAGGUAGCGCCUCGUGAAUUCAUCUCCGGGGGUAGAGCACUGUUUCGGCUAGGGGGCCAUCCCGGCUUACCAACCCGAUGCAAACUGCGAAUACCGGAGAAUGUUAUCACGGGAGACACACGGCGGGUGCUAACGUCCGUCGUGAAGAGGGAAACAACCCAGACCGCCAGCUAAGGUCCCAAAGUCAUGGUUAAGUGGGAAACGAUGUGGGAAGGCCCAGACAGCCAGGAUGUUGGCUUAGAAGCAGCCAUCAUUUAAAGAAAGCGUAAUAGCUCACUGGUCGAGUCGGCCUGCGCGGAAGAUGUAACGGGGCUAAACCAUG
rnacentral:rRNA from 1 species